GACGAACGCUGGCGGCGUGCCUAAUACAUGCAAGUAGAACGCUGAAGGAGGAGCUUGCUCUUCUGGAUGAGUUGCGAACGGGUGAGUAACGCGUAGGUAACCUGCCUGGUAGCGGGGGAUAACUAUUUGAAACGAUAGCUAAUACCGCAUAAGAGUAGAUGUUGCAUGACAUUUGCUUAAAAGGUGCAAUUGCAUCACUACCAGAUGGACCUGCGUUGUAUUAGCUAGUUGGUGGGGUAACGGCUCACCAAGGCGACGAUACAUAGCCGACCUGAGAGGGGGAUCGGCCACACUGGGAAUGAGACACGGCCCAGACUCCUACGGGAGGCAGCAGUAGGGGAUCUUCGGCAAUGGACGGAAGUCUGACCGAGCAACGCCGCGUGAGUGAAGAAGGUUUUCGGAUCGUAAAGCUCUGUUGUAAGAGAAGAACGAGUGUGAGAGUGGAAAGUUCACACUGUGACGGUAUCUUACCAGAAAGGGACGGCUAACUACGUG
rnacentral:rRNA from 1 species